UACGUAGGCAGCGAGCGUUGUUCGGAGUUACUGGGCGUAAAGGGUGUGUAGGCGGUUGUUUAAGUUUGGUGUGAAAUCUCCCGGCUCAACUGGGAGGGUGCGCCGAAUACUGAAUGACUUCGAGUACGGGAGAGGUGAGUGGAAUUCCUGGUGUAGCGGUGAAAUGCGUAGAUAUCGCUUGGAACGCCGAAGGUGAAAACAGGUUGCUGGGGUUGUGCCGACGCUGAGACACGAAAGCCAGGGGAGCAAACGGG
rnacentral:rRNA from 1 species